rnacentral:lncRNA from 1 species
UUCUGAUGAACCAGUAAAUUUCCUGCGGAUAGUUCAGAUUCCUGAAGAAUUACCUGCAGACAAGAUUUCAAACAACGGAACGUUACCGCAAAAACGGGUGUUACAAAACGGUAACGGCAGCCACUGUUACCGUUUUUGUACCUUUUCACGCUGAGAAAAAAGAAAUCACAAAAAAAUCGUUGUUACGAACGUUACGGAACGCCGUUACGGCCGCAAAACACCUUUACGGCCCUGAAAGUACAGAAAAUUGGAAAAGGAGAAGGAAUCUCAGAUUGAAAUUUAAAGUACAAGCCUACAUAUUUAAGGACACAGUUUGUUCUUCAUUCACAUCCUGCAGCUGCUUUUCUUUGUUCUUUGUUCACAACUUCACUUACCAAUUACCAUACGUGCCUCAAGAGUCAAGCCCUCAACCAGAUCCAUAUCUGCUUCUUCAAGAGGUAAUUUUAAAUUGACAGUUUGACACUCUCAAUCUCAACACAACCUCUUAAUUUGGGAAACAAAGAUUAGAAUUUAGAUGGAAAGUUUCCUGCGGUUUCUUAAAUCCUCAGGAAACAAUUAACCACGAAGGUAUUACCUGGAGUGCAAAUCCUUGAAAAAAUUGGCAGGAAAUCUGUUUCCUGCGGAUAUAUCACUUGAUUCCGCAGAAACAUCCGCAGGAAAAUUGAGAGUUUCUAGUAGUGUGUUAACCUGUUUUUUCAGGGGAAAGAAGACCACAAUAACUUGGAAUUUGUUCGGUAGAUAAAUAAAGUCUAAUCGAGAAUUGUUCCGUAUAAUCAAAUUCAAUUAUCCAACCGAUUCAUCCUUUGAUGGAGCUCAUAUUAGUCACUCAAAUUCAAUCACUUAAUGAGAUUAUAACAUUAUAGAAGACCAGAAAUAUAUGUGGG